rnacentral:rRNA from 1 species
ACGGGUGAGUAACGCGUGGGAACGUGCCUUCCGGUUCGGAAUAACCCUGGGAAACUAGGGCUAAUACCGGAUACGCCCUUAUGGGGAAAGGUUUACUGCCGGAAGAUCGGCCCGCGUCUGAUUAGCUAGUUGGUGGGGUAACGGCCUACCAAGGCGACGAUCAGUAGCUGGUCUGAGAGGAUGAUCAGCCACACUGGGACUGAGACACGGCCCAGGCUCCUACGGGAGGCAGCAGUGGGGAAUAUUGGACAAUGGGCGCAAGCCUGAUCCAGCCAUGCCGCGUGAGUGAUGAAGGCCUUAGGGUUGUAAAGCUCUUUUAUCCGGGACGAUAAUGACGGUACCGGAGGAAUAAGCCCCGGCUAACUUCGUGCCAGCAGCCGCGGUAAUACGAAGGGGGCUAGCGUUGCUCGGAAUCACUGGGCGUAAAGGGCGCGUAGGCGGCGUUUUAAGUCGGGGGUGAAAGCCUGUGGCUCAACCACAGAAUGGCCUUCGAUACUGGGACGCUUGAGUAUGGUAGAGGUUGGUGGAACUGCGAGUGUAGAGGUGAAAUUCGUAGA